GAUGAACGCUGGCGGCGUGCCUAAUACAUGCAAGUCGAGCGAACGGACGAGAAGCUUGCUUCUCUGAUGUUAGCGGCGGACGGGUGAGUAACACGUGGAUAACCUACCUAUAAGACUGGGAUAACUUCGGGAAACCGUAGCUAAUACCGGAUAAUAUUUUGAACCGCAUGGUUCAAUAGUGAAAGACGGUCUUGCUGUCACUUAUAGAUGGAUCCGCGCUGCAUUAGCUAGUUGGUAAGGUAACGGCUUACCAAGGCAACGAUGCAUAGCCGACCUGAGAGGGUGAUCGGCCACACUGGAACUGAGACACGGUCCAGACUCCUACGGGAGGCAGCAGUAGGGAAUCUUCCGCAAUGGGCGAAAGCCUGACGGAGCAACGCCGCGUGAGUGAUGAAGGUCUUCGGAUCGUAAAACUCUGUUAUUAGGGAAGAGCAUAUGUGUAAGUAACUGUGCAUAUCUUGACGGUACCUAAUCAGAAAGCCACGGCUAACUACGUG
rnacentral:rRNA from 1 species